rnacentral:lncRNA from 11 species
CUAGCUUAGCUUUCCAUCACAAAGGUUGCAAAGAAUGCUAUUCAUACAACUUCUGAGCGAAGCAGUCAGAAUAGAAGCAGGAUAUUAAUGGGGUGGAGUCAUUUGGAAAAGAUGUCUGCUUGGCCAGAUGCUCCAGUACAUCUCAGGCUUCCAGCCAAUACAGAGCCUUGAGAUUUUAUAAAAAAAACAAACAAAACAAAUAGAAGACUUUGGCAUGUUGGCAGUGCUGACACUCAGUGAGAUGGGGAUUUGGAAGCAACUGUAUUUUUCUGGAUGCAAACACAGCCUCUGGGAUCAUGUUCUGUGUUGUGAUUUAUGAGGCAAUGCUUGCUCAUUCACUCUGACUAGCAGAAUCUGACUGUUUUAUUAUUCUACUAUGGACUGAAAUCGUGUCUUUGUUCAUGCAGAUGUGCACAAGAAGGGUAAAGAGGACUCAGGGCAGUUUCCAACAAGGUGUGAUGACUCAUGGGCCAUGUAGUCCCGUUCCUAGUACUGUUGUGACAGAUGAAGAGGAAAACUUGGGUUUCCCACCGUUUCUGCCAGAUUUGGAGCCCUUGCAGCUGCAGGAUGUUUGCCCACAAGAAGUCAGCCAAACAAGACUUGAGGAGAAAUCUCCCCCAUUUUCUCGCCGCCUUUAUUAUAAUCAAGAUAGACGCGCUCGGGAGGCGACUCGCCGAAGCGCCCGGAUAGCUGCCAGACAAUUAGAUGAUUAAGUCUGUUUCCCUUGGGAAAGUUUAAGGAGUCCUGCAUCUGGACAGUAUAGGUUUCGGUUCUUGUUCCCCAGAGAAAGUGUGCUUUGGCGGGAAAACAAGAUCCUAUAUAGAUGUUUGGCCACAAAGGAUUCCUUGCGGAGUCAAUUCGUCAGCUCGUGGAGUGAGAUCGUGUGUAGACUUCGUACCCCAGUUCCCAGCUCCUGAAUCAAGUUUCCAGCCCUGCCUUGUUCCACGGAUUUCUAUGGACUCAGUUCUUGUUCCACGUUUGUCUUGUUUCAAGUUGGACCUUGCCAAGUCUCAAGUCUUGCCUUGCCUUGCGUUUAAAACCACGGACCCUGCUUCUUGGAUUCCAGCCUUGUUUUCCCCUUCCUUCGGAUUUACCUUGAGCCUCAAAGACUAUGGACAGUUCCCCACACUAUUGCUUGCUAAAUAGUGUGUGUUUCGGUGAAGUGGAUUAUAACUUUGGACUUUAAUAUCAUAUAUUGGACAUUGCUUUCCUGGACUAUAUUUGACCUUUCCUGAAGGGUCUACUUCUGGACUAUAUUCUACACUUGUUUUUAUUGACUUUAUAUAAUUCUUUAAUAAAGAUAUUAGAUAGAUUCUGGCCUCUGCGUAUGGUUAUUGGUGCUCUGCAGCCUGGGUCCUGACACAAGGCAAAACAUUCAGUUGCCAAACAGAGACCAUACAACAAAAUCAAACAUAUAACAAAAAAACAUACAAUCCAUUAAAAACAACCACAAAAAUUAAAAUCCAGUUUCAGUGCUCCAUCAGAUGGGUUUACAAUACUAAUGGCCAGAGUUUCAGAAUAGACAUGGGCAUCUGUGAAGGGCUAUGCAAAGGUUAAUGCGACAGAGUAUCAUAGGGUUGGGGAAGUGGAUAAAGUGCAGACCAGGGUCCUA